GAUGAACGCUGGCGGCGUGCCUAAUACAUGCAAGUCGAGCGAACAGACGAGGAUCUUGCUCCUCUGACGUUAGCGGCGGACGGGUGAGUAACAUGUGGAUAACCUACCUAUAAGACUGGGAUAACUUCGGGAAACCGGAUCUAAUACCGGAUAAUAUAUUGAACCGCAUGGUUCAAUAGUGAAAUACGGUUUUGCUGUCACUUCUAGAUGGAUCCGCGCCGCAUUAGCUGGUUGGUACGUUAACGGCUUACCAAGGCAACGAUGCGUAGCCGACCUGAGAGGCUGAUCGCCCACCUGGGGAGUGAGACACGGUCAAGACUCCUACGGGAGGCAGCAGUAGGGAACCGGACGCAAUGGGCGAAAGCCUGACGCAGCAACGCGGAGUGAGUGAUGAAGGUCUUCGGAUCGUAAAACUCUGUUAUUAGGGAAGAACAAAUGUGUAAGUAACUGUGCACGUCUUGACGGUACCUAGUCAGAAAGCAACGGCUAACUACGUG
rnacentral:rRNA from 1 species